rnacentral:rRNA from 1 species
AUACGUAGGGGGCGAGCGUUGUCCGGAAUGACUGGGCGUAAAGGGCGUGUAGGCGGCUUUAUAAGUCUGGAGUGAAAGUCCUGCUUUCAAGGUGGGAAUUGCUUUGGAGACUGUAGAGCUUGAGUGCGGAAGAGGUAAGUGGAAUUCCCAGUGUAGCGGUGAAAUGCGUAGAGAUUGGGAGGAACACCAGUGGCGAAGGCGACUUACUGGGCCGUAACUGACGCUGAGGCGCGAAAGCGUGGGGAGCGAACAGGAUUAGAUACCCUGGUAGUCCACGCUGUAAACGAUGAAUGCUAGGUGUAGCGGGUAUCGACCCCUGCUGUGCCGCAGUAAACACAAUAAGCAUUCCGCCUGGGGAGUACGGCCGCAAGGUUGAAACUCAAAUGAAUUGACGGGG